rnacentral:tRNA from 1 species
GGAAAUGUGGCUUAGUGGUAAAGUGCUUGCUUAGCAUGCAUGAAGCCCUGGGUUCGAUUCCUCAGUACCA